AUUGAACGCUAGCGGGAUGCCUUACACAUGCAAGUCGAACGGAGUGGCGAACGGGGGAGGGAUGUAUCGGAACGUGACCAGUCGCGGGGGAUAACUACGCGAACGCGUAGCUAAUACCGCAUACUCUUGGAGCCGCCGAUAUCGUAUUGGCUAGUUGGUGGGGUAACGGCUCACCAAGGCGAAGACCCGUAGCUGGUGUGAGAGGACGACCAGCCACACUGGGACUGAGACACGGCCCAGACUCCUACGGGAGGCAGCAGUGGGGAAUUUUGGACAAUGGGGGAAACCCUGAUCCAGCCAUGCCGCGUGUGUGAUGAAGGCCUUCGGGUUGUAAAGCACUUUUGGCAGGAAAGCGGUACCUGCAGAAUAAGCACCGGCUAACUACGUGCCAGCAGCCGCGGUAAUUC
rnacentral:rRNA from 1 species